rnacentral:rRNA from 1 species
CCCUUAGAUGUCCUGGGCCGCACGCGCGCUACACUGAGUGUCUGAGAUACGAGUCUGCCCGGUCCGGCAAGGUCUAGGUAAUCGCUAAAAGACACAUCAUGCUUGGGAUAGAUUAUUGCAAAUAUUAAUCUUGAACGAGGAAUUCCUAGUAAGCGCAAGUCAACAGCUUGCGUUUAUUACGUCCCUGCCCUUUGUACACACCGCCCGUCGCUACUACUGAUUGGAUGUUUAAGCGAGGUUCUCGAACUGCUAGCGACUUAGCUUCGGUGAGGUCGCAGUGUGGGAAGUGAACCUAGCUUUGGUGUCUAGAGGAAGUAAAAGUCGUAACA